AGCUGCUCGACCUCUACACCGGCUUCGACGCCGCCUCCACCGUCGUCGACGUCGGCGGCGGCGUGGGCGCCACUGUGGCCGCCGUCGUCUCCCGCCACCCGCACAUCCGGGGGAUCAACUACGACCUCCCCCACGUCAUCUCCGAGGCGCCGCCGUUCCCCGGGGUGGAGCACGUCGGCGGCGACAUGUUCGCCUCCGUGCCCCGCGGCGGCGACGCCAUCCUGAUGAAGUGGAUCCUCCACGACUGGAGCGACGAGCACUGCGCGCG
rnacentral:misc_RNA from 1 species